rnacentral:lncRNA from 1 species
GUGAGUUCAACUGUGACCACAGGAUGGAUAAGGUACCAAAAAUUAAAAGCAAAGAUGCUUAAAUCAACUGCAGUCCUUCUGGGCAGAUGUUCCUAAAUGCAAUCCAUCUAAGAGGAAAGAGUUUUUGAGGGAAGGGUGAUCACUGGGCCUCUACAUGCCACACCCGGAAGGCCCAGCAGUGGGGCAAGGAUAGAACACACAGUUUGGCGAUGUGACCCUGCCUGUCUGCACACCUCAGGAUCCCACCACCCAACAGGCAUACAUCUCCUGGAGCUACAGAGAUGCCAAAUGCCAGAGAAGGGAAGCAGGAAGGGAGAUGAAGACAAGGAACUCUGAAAAAUGGAAGCAGAAACACAGGCUGUAUUUUCCCCUAUCCUUCUUUUCUUUGUUCCCUUUUUUCUCUUUUGAAUGAAAAAUAAAAAUGCAGAAAACCUCAGGA